rnacentral:rRNA from 1 species
CUGAUGCAGCCAUGCCGCGUGUAUGAAGAAGGCCUUCGGGUUGUAAAGCACUUUCAGUCGUGAGGAAGGUGGUGUAGUUAAUAGCUGCAUUAUUUGACGUUAGCGACAGAAGAAGCACCGGCUAACUCCGUGCCAGCAGCCGCGGUAAUACGGAGGGUGCGAGCGUUAAUCGGAAUUACUGGGCGUAAAGCGCAUGCAGGUGGUUUGUUAAGUCAGAUGUGAAAGCCCGGGGCUCAACCUCGGAAUUGCAUUUGAAACUGGCAGACUAGAGUACUGUAGAGGGGGGUAGAAUUUCAGGUGUAGCGGUGAAAUGCGUAGAGAUCUGAAGGAAUACCGGUGGCGAAGGCGGCCCCCUGGACAGAUACUGACACUCAGAUGCGAAAGCGUGGGGAGCAAACAGGAUUAGAUACCCUGGUAGUCCACGCCGUAAACGAUGUCUACUUGGAGGUUGUGGCCUUGAGCCGUGGCUUUCGGAGCUAACGCGUUAAGUAGACCGCCUGGGGAGUACGGUCGCAAGAUUAAAACUCAAAUGAAUUGACGGGGGCCCGCACAAGCGGUGGAGCAUGUGGUUUAAUUCGAUGCAACGCGAAGAACCUUACCUACUCUUGACAUCCAGAGAACUUUCCAGAGAUGGAUUGGUGCCUUCGGGAACUCUGAGACAGGUGCUGCAUGGCUGUCGUCAGCUCGUGUUGUGAAAUGUUGGGUUAAGUCCCGCAACGAGCGCAACCCUUAUCCUUGUUUGCCAGCGAGUAAUGUCGGGAACUCCAGGGAGACUGCCGGUGAUAAACCGGAGGAAGGUGGGGACGACGUCAAGUCAUCAUGGCCCUUACGAGUAGGGCUACACACGUGCUACAAUGGCGCAUACAGAGGGC